GACGAACGCUGGCGGCGUGCCUAAUACAUGCAAGUAGAACGCUGAAGGAGGAGCUUGCUCUUCUGGAUGAGUUGCGAACGGGUGAGUAACGCGUAGGUAACCUGCCUGGUAGCGGGGGAUAACUAUUGGAAACGAUAGCUAAUACCGCAUAACAGUAGAUGUUGCAUGACAUUUGCUUAAAAGGUGCAAUUGCAUCACUACCAGAUGGACCUGCGUUGUAUUAGCUAGUUGGUGGGGUAACGGCUCACCAAGGCGACGAUACAUAGCCGACCUGAGAGGGUGAGCGGCCACACUGGGACUGAGACACGGCCCAGACUCCUACGGGAGGCAGCAGUAGGGAAUCUUCGGCAAUGGACGGAAGUCGGACCGAGCAACGCCGCGUGAGUGAAGAAGGUUUUCGGAUCGUAAAGCUCUGUUGUAAGAGAAGAACGAGUGUGAGAGUGGAAAGUUCACACUGUGACGGUAUCUUACCAGAAAGGGACGGCUAACUACGUG
rnacentral:rRNA from 1 species